AAAGAAGCCAUCUUCUGAAGUGUGCAUUUAUUUGGUGGGGAACAAUAUGCUUUAAAUAGUAUUUAUUUGAUGAAGAUACUAGAAUUUCUUCUCCAAAUCAUUGGAGUAGCAUUAUUUCAAUUUCAUUCAAGUUGCAUAUUUUUUUUCACACUUGGUCUUACAUUGAUCUUUUUUUUGAUAAGCGAUCUUACAUGGAUCUUAAGAGAAACAAACAUUAAAAAGAUUGU
rnacentral:misc_RNA from 1 species